UGGGUAUGGGUCAAAUUGUCAUCCCUAUCUGAUAGGGCUUUGGCCUCCCCUUUAUAAAUAAUAAUAGCUGCUGCGAAAAUUACAAUUUAGCCCAUCGCUUUCAAACCCUCCAAAAAAUUGGAUUUUUUCUUUUAAUUGCCCCUAAUUGUUUUUACAACAAUUAAUACCCCUUGUUUCAAAAAAAUUGCCGUAAUACUCCAUUUUUGGACAAAAACCGACGCUUGAAGUCCCUUCUGAUGGCGAAACUGACAACGACGCCAUGCCCAUAUAAUGGCGGAACUACCAAUUAUGCCAUUGACCAUUUUUUUUCUUUCUUUUUUGCGUUUUCAAUCCAGAUCCAACAAAGAACAAUUCAAUCCAAUGAGUUAUGUUGUUCAUGCAAAAUAUAGAUUUAACACCAACUUUCUUCCCCAAAACCAUCGCUAGUUUCCUCUAAAAACGAUGAAGAUGGAGCGGUUGUUUGACAUGGUGAUGGUGGCGACGGUGGACGUCGCGGUGGUGGUGACGCCAUUGUGAUGAGUAGCGGAAACAGUUAUUGGAGGUUUCUUGUUUUUGGCGGUGAUCGAUUUUCCUUUUCGAAUAUCAACUAGUCAAUUAAUCAAUAUUUUUUACCGCACAAAAUCAAGGACUGGAUUGUCAUAUUUGUAGAAAAAGUCUCACAUUCAUCCUCAUCAAAAUUAC
rnacentral:lncRNA from 1 species